rnacentral:rRNA from 1 species
AAAUUGAAGAGUUUGAUCAUGGCUCAGAUUGAACGCUGGCGGCAGGCCUAACACAUGCAAGUCGAACGGUAACAGGAAGCAGCUUGCUGCUUCGCUGACGAGUGGCGGACGGGUGAGUAAUGUCUGGGAAACUGCCUGAUGGAGGGGAUAACUACUGGAAACGGUGGCUAAUACCGCAUAACGUCGCAAGACCAAAGAGGGGACCUUCGGGCCUCUUGCCAUCAGAUGUGCCCAGAUGGGAUUAGCUAGUUGGUGAGGUAACGGCUCACCAAGGCGACGAUCCCUAGCUGGUCUGAGAGGAUGACCAGCCACACUGGAACUGAGACACGGUCCAGACUCCUACGGGAGGCAGCAGUGGGGAAUAUUGCACAAUGGGCGCAAGCCUGAUGCAGCCAUGCCGCGUGUAUGAAGAAGGCCUUCGGGUUGUAAAGUACUUUCAGCGGGGAGGAAGGUGUUGUGGUUAAUAACCGCAGCAAUUGACGUUACCCGCAGAAGAAGCACCGGCUAACUCCGUGCCAGCAGCCGCGGUAAUACGGAGGGUGCAAGCGUUAAUCGGAAUUACUGGGCGUAAAGCGCACGCAGGCGGUCUGUCAAGUCGGAUGUGAAAUCCCCGGGCUCAACCUGGGAACUGCAUUCGAAACUGGCAGGCUUGAGUCUUGUAGAGGGGGCUAGAAUUCCGUGUGUAGCGGUGAAAUGCGUAGAGAUCUGGAGGAAUACCGGUGGCGAAGGCGGCCCCCUGGACAAAGACUGACGCUCAGGUGCGAAAGCGUGGGGAGCAAACAGGAUUAGAUACCCUGGUAGUCCACGCCGUAAACGAUGUCUACUUGGAGGUUGUGCCCUUGAGGCGUGGCUUCCGGAGCUAACGCGUUAAGUAGACCGCCUGGGGAGUACGGCCGCAAGGUUAAAACUCAAAUGAAUUGACGGGGGCCCGCACAAGCGGUGGAGCAUGUGGUUUAAUUCGAUGCAACGCGAAGAACCUUACCCGUCUUGACUUCCACAGAACUUUCCAGAGAUGGAUUGGUGCCUUCGGGAACUGUGAGACAGGUGCUGCAUGGCUGUCGUCAGCUCGUGUUGUGAAAUGUUGGGUUAAGUCCCGCAACGAGCGCAACCCUUAUCCUUUGUUGCCAGCGAUUAGGUCGGGAACUCAAAGGAGACUGCCAGUGAUAAACUGGAGGAAGGUGGGGAUGACGUCAAGUCAUCAUGGCCCAUGCAACUCGACUCCAUGAAGUCGGAAUCGCUAGUAAUCGUGGAUCAGAAUGCCACGGUGAAUACGUUCCCGGGCCUUGUACACACCGCCCGUCACACCAUGGGAGUGGGUUGCAAAAGAAGUAGGUAGCUUAACCUUCGGGAGGGCGCUUACCACUUUGUGAUUCAUGACUGGGGUGAAGUCGUAACAAGGUAACCGUAGGGGAACCUGCGGUUGGAUCACCUCCUUACCUUAAAGAAGC